rnacentral:rRNA from 1 species
GACGAACGCUGGCGGCGUGCCUAAUACAUGCAAGUCGAGCGAACAGAUCAUGAGCUUGCUCCUUUGACGUUAGCGGCGGACGGGUGUGUAACACGUGUGUAACCUACCUGUAAUACUGGGAUAACUUCGGGAAACCGGCGCUAAUACCGGAUAACAUUUUGAUCCGCAGGGUGCUAAAGUGAAAGACGGUUUUGCUGGCACUUAUAGAUGGACCCGCGCCGUAUUAGCUGGUCGGUCAGGUAAACGCUUACCAAGGGAACGAUGGGUAACCGACGUGUGAGGGUGAUAGCCCACACUAGAAGUGAAACACGCACAAGGGUCCUAAGAGACGCCCCAGAAGGCAACCGUACGCAAUAGGAGAGAACAUGACAGAACGACGCCGAGUGUGUUACGGAAGGGUUCGGCGCGUAAAACCCUGUUAUUAGGGAAGAACAAAUGUGUAAGUAGCCGAGGACGUAUUGACGGUACCUAAUAAGAAAGCAACGGCUAACUACGUG